rnacentral:rRNA from 1 species
AUACGGAGGAUCCGAGCGUUAUCCGGAUUUAUUGGGUUUAAAGGGAGCGUAGGCGGAUUAUUAAGUCAGUUGUGAAAGUUUGCGGCUCAACCGUAAGAUUGCAGUUGAUACUGGUAGUCUUGAGUGCAGCAGAGGUAGGCGGAAUUCGUGGUGUAGCGGUGAAAUGCUUAGAUAUCACGAAGAACUCCGAUUGCGAAGGCAGCUUACUGGACUGUAACUGACGCUGAUGCUCGAAAGUGUGGGUAUCAAACAGGAUUAGAUACCCUGGUAGUCCACACAGUAAACGAUGAAUACUCGCUGUUUGCGAUAUACAGCAAGCGGCCAAGCGAAAGCAUUAAGUAUUCCACCUGGGGAGUACGCCGGCAACGGUGAAACUCAAAUGAAUUGACGGGG